UACGUAGGGACCGAGCGUUGUCCGGAUUCAUUGGGCGUAAAGAGCUCGUAGGCGGCCACUCAAGUCGAAUGUGAAACCUCGAGGCUUAACCUCGAGCCUGCAUUUGAUACUGGGCGGCUAGAGUCUGGUAGGGGGAUCUGGAAUUCCUGGUGUAGCGGUGGAAUGCGCAGAUAUCAGGAGGAACACCGGUGGCGAAGGCGGGAUCCUGGGCCAGUACGUGACGCUGAGGAGCGAAAGCGUGGGGAGCAAACAGGG
rnacentral:rRNA from 1 species